AGCGGCAAAGCUCAAUUGAAAUUGGAUGCCUUUGGCGUUCGACUUGUAAUUUGGAGAGACUAUUUCGAGCCGUAGGGUCUUCCAAGUUCCUUGGAACAGGACAUCACAGAGGGUGAGAAUCCCGUGCGGAAGAGUUCGAAUGCUCAUGUGAAAUGUCUUCGACGAGUCGAGUUGUUUGGGAAUGCAGCUCAAAGUGGGUGGUAAAUGUCAUCUAAAGCUAAAUAACGGCGAGAGACCGAUAGCGCACAAGUAGAGUGAUCGAAAGAUGAAAAGCACUUUGAAAAGAGAGUCAAAGAGUACGUGAAAUUGUUGAAAGGGAAGCGCUCAAGACCAAACCUACGGAACGGUGAUCAGCAGUGCUUCGGUGCUGUGUACUUGCCGCUGCGUGGAACAGCAUCGGUUCGAAUGAUUGGAUAAAGGCUUGCGGAAUGUGGCUCCUCUCGAGGAGUGUUAUAGCUGCGGGUGCAAUGCGAUCAAUUCGGACCGAGGACGGCGCAUGUGCGAGGAUGCUGUUGAAAUGGUCUUUAGCGACCCGUCUUGAAACACGGACCAAGGAGUCUAACAUCUAUGCGAGUGUUUGGGUGCCAAACCCUUGCGCACAAUGAAAGUAAAUGUAGGUGGAAGCCGUCAGGUGCACCAUCGACCGAUCCAGAAGUCUUCGGAUGGAUUUGAGUAUGAGCAUAGCUGUUGGGACCCGAAAGAUGGUGAACUAUGCCUGAAUAGGGUGAAGCCAGAGGAAACUCUGGUGGAGGCUCGCAGCGGUUCUGACGUGCAAUCGAUCGUCGAAUUUGG
rnacentral:rRNA from 1 species